AUUCUCUUAUACUUCUAUGUCGUAAGGUGAUUCUAUUCUCUCUAUUCUGCAGCAGGAGUUUCCUCCUUUCCCUCCUGUUUGGCUCCAAUUUUGCCAUUUUGGGUCCAAACACCUCCAGUUAUGAUUAAAUCUUUUGUAAAGAUCCAAGAUUGGGGGCUUCAAGUUUGUGAAGGAGAUGGGGCUCAAUCAUCGAGCUGCACUUAGCAAUAUCACCAAUUUCAAAAGAGAGGCUUUUGGAAAGCAUGCUUCUCAGUCAAUAUUAGAAGACUCUCUGUCGGUGGACAAAAUUAAUGUUUCUUUCUCCUAUGCAAUUUCGAGCAAGUCUCUUUUGCUUCACAAAUGAGAAAUAGCUGCAACAUUUCAAUCAGUUCUUGUGGGUGAUGUUUUCAGCAUGUUUUUACAUACGAGUUUCUGGUCACAUAAACCUGGUGGAAUAAUUGCUUUUCCUCAAUGAAGCUUGGUCAGACUGGGGAAGAAUGGUGUGGAGGAAGUUUCGGAAUUGGGUCCUUUCUGAAACUUGGCUUUGCAGCUCCGAAAGUGACCAUACUUAUAGUUAAUUAGCUCACUUGCAUCAUUUGAUGCUUGUAGGAGAAAGAUAUUGAGGGGUUGAGGUUACCGACCAUACUUGGCUUGAGUCAAUCAUACAUGAUGAGGUACUUUGUGCUAAUGGAUUAGUGUUGAUCCCCUUUUUCCGAUGAAGGUCGGACCAAACAAAAUACUAUUUUUUUUUUUCCAGACCAAUGGCUUUGUUUUGUUGACUACGUACCCCCACUCCCAUGAAGAGAAGAUGGCCAUGCAUUUUCCAAAGCUGUUAAGAUGCCCCUAUUUCUUCACUUCCAUCCAUCACUUUAUUCUCUUUUAAGUUGAGGCAAGUGCAAAGCAAAACUAAAAUUAACUUGUGGGCUUUUGGCAUUGAGAUUCUUGUCCUCCUUGUUGUUGACUACUUCAGUGGCCACUGUCUUUUCCAUUAAUUAAGUUUCGCUCCUAACUGUGCCUAUACAGUUUGGGUUUGGACUUUGGAACUCUAUUUCAAAAUUUCCACAUUAUUUUAUCUUACGAUUUCAACAUAGUUCUUUGAGUUCUUUACUGCCAGAGGCUUGAGCCGACUGUCCUUGUUUCUUUCUCUAUAUUUAUUUCUUUAUUAAGAAAAUUUAUUAUUUAUUACUAUUCGUUUGU